AAUGUUUUGCGCUCUCAUAUUAGAUCACUCCCAACCACCAGGCAUUAAGCAAGGUCCAACAGAACGUCAGCUACAGGCCCAGUUUAAUGUUCUGUGCUCACGCUUGGGCUGUUCUGUUCUGCCGGUCUCCUACGAUCUCUUCUCCAGCGGCAUUCUGACUCAGUUGGAACUGGAGAAAAUCCAAGCAAUACCCAUCCCAACCCAGCAAGCACAAACUCUGCUGUCCAUCUGCCUGAAGAAAGGAGAAAAAGUGUGCAUGAGCUUUUACACAGCGCUACAGAAUGAAGACGAGCAACUAGCUGAGGAACUUAAUGUAAACAGUUUGGUGGAAGACCUUGAUAAAGAACCAGAAGGCAGCAUUGUGCCGAUAGCAGUGGAGGAAACUAGAGAUCACUUGAGAGCAGCUUUACCUCUGUCAGGUAGUUCACAUUUCAACAUUAUACUCAUUUUGUUGAAAACUAUGAGAGA
rnacentral:lncRNA from 1 species